rnacentral:rRNA from 1 species
GUGAGGAAUAUUGCGCAAUGGAGGCAACUCUGACGCAGCCAUGCCGCGUGCAGGAAGAAGGCGCUACGCGUUGUAAACUGCUUUUAACCGGGAAGAAACCCCAGGACGUGUCCUGGGUUGACGGUACCGGAGGAAUAAGCACCGGCUAACUUCGUGCCAGCAGCCGCGGUAAUACGAAGGGUGCAAGCGUUAUCCGGAUACAUUGGGUUUAAAGGGUGCGUAGGCGGAGCGUUAAGUCAGUGGUGAAAUCCUGCAGCUUAACUGUAGACUUGCCAGUGAUACUGGCGCUCUUGAGUGCGCUUGAAGUGGGCGGAAUGUGCCGUGUAGCGGUGAAAUGCUUAGAUAUGGCACAGAACACCAAUUGCGAAGGCAGCUCACUAAGGCGAUACUGACGCUGAGGCACGAAAGCGUGGGGAUCGAACAGGAUUAGAAACCCUGGUAGUCC